CAUACAUUGCAUAAGCCUGCCACAACGCCAAUGUACCCCAUCUUUGGCAGGUCCUACUCUGUCUGCUAAAUGAGCUUCUCACUUGGGGAAAUCCUUCCAUCUCGAGGUCUCUGCAGUACAAUGCUUAAAUAGGAUCCUGAGAUGAGGCACCUGUAACAGGGAGGGGUGCAAAACCCAUGGUUCGUUUAGCAUGUCACAAUGGUGGGCCAUGUAAUUACAUUGAGGAACAAGCGGC